rnacentral:rRNA from 1 species
GAUGAACGCUGGCGGCGUGCUUAACACAUGCAAGUCGAACGGAAAGGCUCCUGCUUGCAGGGGUACUCGAGUGGCGAACGGGUGAGUAACACGUGGGUGAUCUGCCCUGCACUUCGGGAUAAGCCUGGGAAACUGGGUCUAAUACCGGAUAGGACCACAUUUUGGAUGGUGUGGUGGAAAGUUUUUCGGUGUGGGAUGAGCUCGCGGCCUAUCAGCUUGUUGGUGGGGUAAUGGCCUACCAAGGCGUCGACGGGUAGCCGGCCUGAGAGGGUGUACGGCCACAUUGGGGCUGAGAUACGGCCCAGACUCCUACGGGAGGCAGCAGUGGGGCAUAUUGCACAAUGGGGGCGAGCCUGAUGCAGCGACGCCGCGUGGGGGAUGACGGCCUUCGGGUUGUAAACUCCUUUCGCUAGGGACGAAGCGUUUUUGUGACGGUACCUGGAGAAGAAGCACCGGCUAACUACGUG